GAUGAACGCUAGCGGCAGGCCUAAUACAUGCAAGUCGAGGGGUAGAAGAGGCUUGCUUCUUUGAGACCGGCGCACGGGUGCGUAACGCGUAUGCAACCUACCUUCAUCUGGGGGAUAGCCCGGAGAAAUCCGGAUUAAUACCGCAUAAAAUCACAGGAUGGCAUUAUCCAAUGAUCAAACAUUUAUGGGAUGGAGAUGGGCAUGCGUGUCGUUAGCUAGUUGGCGGGGUAACGGCCCACCAAGGCGACGAUGACUAGGGGAGCUGAGAGGAUGGCCCCCCACACUGGGACUGAGACACGAACCAGACUCCUACGGGAGGCAGCAGUAAGGAAUAUUGGUCAAUGGAGGCAACUCUGAACCAGCCAUGCCGCGUGCAGGAAGACUGCCCUAUGGGUUGUAAACUGCUUUUAUUCGGGAAUAAACCUUAUUACGUGUAAUAAGCUGAAUGUACCGAAGGAAUAAGGAUCGGCUAACUCCGUGCCAGCCGCCGCAGUAA
rnacentral:rRNA from 1 species